CGGCGGCGUCAGAUGCAGUCGAUGACGGAAAGCUUUCGGGUGAGUACUAGUGGCGCACGGGUGAGGAACGCGUGGAUAAUCUGCCUUAGAGUGGGGGAUAACGGUCAGAAAGAUUAGCUAAUACCGCAUAAGACCACAGGAGCUGCGGCUCAAGGGGUCAAAGAAGUCUUCGCUCUAAGAUAUGCGUCCGCGUAAGAUUAGCUAGUUGGUGAGAACUACGGCUCACCAAGGCGACGAUCUUUAACUGGUCUGAGAGGAUGAUCAGUCACACUGGAACUGAUUGACACGGUCCAGACCCUGAACGGGAGGCAGCAGUAGGGAAUAUUGCACAGUGUAGGAAACUCUGAUGCAGCGACGCCGCGUCACAUGAUGAAGGCCUUCGGGUCGUAAAUGCUGUCGCAGGGGAAUAACACAAUGAAUGUAUGGAAAGGAUCGGCAUGCUGCUUCGUGCCAGCAGCCGCGGUAAGACGAGGGAUCCUAGCGUUGUUCAUCAUUAUUG
rnacentral:rRNA from 1 species